rnacentral:SRP_RNA from 2 species
GCUGGGCGUGGUGGCUCACGCCUGUAAUCCCAGUACUUUGGGAGGCUGAGUCAGGUGGAUCACUUGAGGUCAGGAGUUCGAGACCAGCCUGGCCAACAUGGUGAAACCCUGUCUUUA